rnacentral:rRNA from 1 species
UCGAGCGGACAGAAGGGAGCUUGCUCCCGGAUGUUAGCGGCGGACGGGUGAGUAACACGUGGGUAACCUGCCUGUAAGACUGGGAUAACUCCGGGAAACCGGAGCUAAUACCGGAUAGUUCCUUGAACCGCAUGGUUCAAGGAUGAAAGACGGUUUCGGCUGUCACUUACAGAUGGACCCGCGGCGCAUUAGCUAGUUGGUGGGGUAAUGGCUCACCAAGGCGACGAUGCGUAGCCGACCUGAGAGGGUGAUCGGCCACACUGGGACUGAGACACGGCCCAAACUCCUACGGGAGGCAGCAGUAGGGAAUCUUCCGCAAUGGACGAAAGUCUGACGGAGCAACGCCGCGUGAGUGAUGAAGGUUUUCGGAUCGUAAAGCUCUGUUGUUAGGGAAGAACAAGUGCGAGAGUAACUGCUCGCACCUUGACGGUACCUAACCAAAAAGCCACGGCUAACUACGUGCCAGCAGCCGCGGUAAUACGUAGGUGGCAAGCGUUGUCCGGAAUUAUUGGGCGUAAAGGGCUCGCAGGCGGUUUCUUAAGUCUGAUGUGAAAGCCCCCGGCUCAACCGGGGAGGGUCAUUGGAAACUGGGAAACUUGAGUGCAGAAGAGGAGAGUGGAAUUCCACGUGUAGCGGUGAAAUGCGUAGAGAUGUGGAGGAACACCAGUGGCGAAGGCGACUCUCUGGUCUGUAACUGACGCUGAGGAGCGAAAGCGUGGGGAGCGAACAGGAUUAGAUACCCUGGUAGUCCACGCCGUAAACGAUGAGUGCUAAGUGUUAGGGGGUUUCCGCCCCUUAGUGCUGCAGCUAACGCAUUAAGCACUCCGCCUGGGGAGUACGGUCGCAAGACUGAAACUCAAAGGAAUUGACGGGGGCCCGCACAAGCGGUGGAGCAUGUGGUUUAAUUCGAAGCAACGCGAAGAACCUUACCAGGUCUUGACAUCCUCUGACAACCCUAGAGAUAGGGCUUUCCCUUCGGGGACAGAGUGACAGGUGGUGCAUGGUUGUCGUCAGCUCGUGUCGUGAGAUGUUGGGUUAAGUCCCGCAACGAGCGCAACCCUUGAUCUUAGUUGCCAGCAUUUAGUUGGGCACUCUAAGGUGACUGCCGGUGACAAACCGGAGGAAGGUGGGGAUGACGUCAAAUCAUCAUGCCCCUUAUGACCUGGGCUACACACGUGCUACAAUGGACAGAACAAAGGGCUGCGAGACCGCAAGGUUUAGCCAAUCCCAUAAAUCUGUUCUCAGUUCGGAUCGCAGUCUGCAACUCGACUGCGUGAAGCUGGAAUCGCUAGUAAUCGCGGAUCAGCAUGCCGCGGUGAAUACGUUCCCGGGCCUUGUACACACCGCCCGUCACACCACGAGAGUUUGUAACACCCGAAGUCGGUGAGGUAACCUUUAUGGAG